GUUAUUCAUAUUUGUAUGGAAUGGGAUCGUUUGCGUACGUUUGCCGCUAGGGGCGCUGUUCCAACUGCAUACAAAAUUGGCUUA
rnacentral:pre_miRNA from 1 species